rnacentral:tRNA from 1 species
CGCAGUGUCACCUAACGGCAAGGUACUCAUCUCAUAAGUGAGGAUAUGCGAGUUCAACUCUCGCCACUGCUACCA